rnacentral:rRNA from 1 species
CCUACGGGAGGCUGCAGUGGGGAAUAUUGCACAAUGGGCGCAAGCCUGAUGCAGCCAUGCCGCGUGUGUGAAGAAGGCCUUCGGGUUGUAAAGCACUUUCAGCGGGGAGGAAGGCGUUAAGGUUAAUAACCUUGGCGAUUGACGUUACCCGCAGAAGAAGCACCGGCUAACUCCGUGCCAGCAGCCGCGGUAAUACGGAGGGUGCAAGCGUUAAUCGGAAUUACUGGGCGUAAAGCGCACGCAGGCGGUCUGUCAAGUCGGAUGUGAAAUCCCCGGGCUCAACCUGGGAACUGCAUUCGAAACUGGGAGGCUAGAGCCUUGUAGAGGGGGGUAGAAUGCCAGGUGUAGCGGUGAAAUGCGUAGAGAUCUGGAGGAAUACCGGUGGCGAAGGCGGCCCCCUGGACAAAGACUGACGCUCAGGUGCGAAAGCGUGGGGAGCAAACAGGAUUAGAUACCCGGGUAGUC